rnacentral:lncRNA from 1 species
GCCACCAAGGCACGGAUAGACAAGACACUACUAAUGUGUCGCGUCAGUGAGCUAAUAGCGGUAGCGAGCCCUUACUGGUUGCAUUCUUGCUGGUACUAGUUCAAUUCUGAUCGGUGUUGGUUUAGUUCAGGACGGGUAUAGGCCCUUUGUUCAGGACGGGUACAGGCCCAAUUCUUCCUUCGUUCCCAAACCUCCAUCCAAAGAAAGAGAGAGCUACAAAAAGAACGCCCUUCUAUGGAUUGAAAGAGGAAAGGCUAGAGUGAGUUCGAGUGUCAUUGUUGCGAGAAUGGACUUCUUGCCCUUACGCUCUUAUGCUUAUUCUUGCCAACCAAAUGAUUCAAGCUAUGAGAGGAAGUAGCCAAUGACGUUUAUUCUCGUUUCUUCUAGGCUGUUUGGUCCCGAUCGGCCAAUAACACUAGCUGGAGAUUAGCCAACAACAGACCAGAGUCAUCUUCCUCCCAGACUUUCUGUCCUUCAUUACCUUCCAGUGGCUAGGCACCUGCCAAGCUAAGCUUUCUGUCUGCCUUCCAUAUUAGCUGCAUUUUGAAGAGAAGAACUGGGACCCGCCCUGCAACGUAGUUAGACCAAGCUACGGGUGUUUGUAGUGGCUUGCUGCCUUGUCGUCUUGUCU